rnacentral:rRNA from 1 species
ACGAGGCACUACGGUGCUGAAGCAACAAAUGCCCUGCUUCCAGGAAAAGCCUCUAAGCAUCAGGUAACAUCAAAUCGUACCCCAAACCGACACAGGUGGUCAGGUAGAGAAUACCAAGGCGCUUGAGAGAACUCGGGUGAAGGAACUAGGCAAAAUGGUGCCGUAACUUCGGGAGAAGGCACGCUGACACGUAGGUGAAGUGAUUUACUC